CUGUGCGGAGUUUGCUCGUUCUCCCCGUGGUCGCGUGGGUUUUCCCCGGGUCCUCCGGUUUCCUCCCAAACCGGAUUUGGCUGAUUUGAAUGUUGUUCCAGGAUCAACAUAGAUGUUAAUCUAGGAACAUGUCUGGCUUGGUGAAAUCAGUGUCUGAAAUGGUUCUGUGGUGAGAAGGCAGGGCCGAGUCCGUGGGAACGGAAUGAGGCCGCCGCGUAAGUGAAUACACCUGUGGAGCGCACCGGCCUCGAAUACCACGGAAGGAGCUCUGGACUAUGAGAGGAGAAACGAUGCCAGAGGAAGCCGAGAGAGGACCGACCCGGACAUAAUGUUUUACUUUUGCUUUCAGUUUGACUUUCGUUGACAGUUUGCUUUCGUCCGUAUGUCUUGGUUUAGAUGGCAGUCUCCGUGAGACAGAGACUCUCUGUUAAUAAAUAUUUUAAAAC
rnacentral:lncRNA from 1 species